AGAGAAUCACUUGAGCCCGGGAGGUGGAUAUUGCAGUGAGCCAAGAUCACGCCACUGCACUCCAGCCUGGCAACAGAG
rnacentral:snRNA from 1 species